rnacentral:lncRNA from 1 species
GCCAACGGCACCCCCCAGGCACACUGCAGAAGCUCCCUGUGCCCAUGGGGCCAUCUCGGCUUGUCCGUGGCCCUCGGCCCCAGGGCAUGCGUUCCCCCUACCGCAGGCCAGGUAUGGGCUGGCCCAGGCCCCGAUUUCCCAGGAUGUUCAAGUGUAGCCGCAGAAGAUAUCAGCAGGGUCUCCGAGGUCGAACUGCCAGCAGUGCAGCCAUCAAUCCUGCCACCAGGGCCAUGGGUAUCAACAACACCCACACUGACACCACCAUAAUGUGGAUCUUCCCACCUCAAGUUCUCAGACAUCUCAGGCAACCUGGGAUUUUUCUGAUCCUCUAGAAGUGCCCAGAAGCUAGCCCAGAAGCUUGGUUUGCCCUGGACCUGCAUCUCCUAGGGGCCGUGUGGGUGGUGAACAACAAAUACAGUCAUUCUGCUCAAACUGCCUUAUUCCACACAGAGGUGUUAACCAGCUGACUAUGCAGGGCGUGAGGGGAGGGUUACGGCUGAAUACUUACAGGGAAAGGCUUCAGUGACCGCAGCAGGGAUCAUAGUUUAAGACAGCAGGAGGACAGGACAAGGUCAGCAACAUAGACCAUCUUUGGUCUCAGCUCUUGAUCUGCCCCAUGAAGUAGGGGCUGUCUUGCCUUACACUCCUAACUGCACAGGGAGAAGGGUCUCUGUAAACAUCUUGGAAGGUAUUGGGAGGCACAGAUCAGAGAGGGAUAGGAUGAAAGAUUGAACCCUGAGAGUACACAAGUAUGAGGUGGAUGUGAGGUGGAUGUGCCUCUGUGUGCCUGUGAUGGUCAGCGUGUAGGUGUAGCUGCUGGUGUGUGUGUCUGAGGCCGGGAGAAUAGGAGUAUCAGUAGAUGUGGCUGAAUGUGCCUUUGUGAUUUAAUGUGCCUCUGUGACUGACUGUGAGUGUCAAGGAGCGUUUGUGAGGGUAUGGGUGUGCCGGAGAGGACAUCAGCCCUGGUAAGAAAAGUGAAGGUCAGGAGGGGGAUGGGGAACAGCCUAAAGGAGGAGAACAUGGAGAAGGGUGAGAUUCUGAGAAAGGCAUACUACCUUCGGCCCUUCAACCAUUCUCUGAGAGGGUGAGAGAAAAGAUACUUCUGAACCAGGACUAAAGAAACUCUUAUAGAAGGCAGAGGAAACAGGAGCUAGAGAUCCGAACA